rnacentral:hammerhead_ribozyme from 1 species
AUCCGGCUGACGAGUCCCAAACAGGACGAAAUGCGCAUCCUGGAU